GAUGAACGCUGGCGGCGUGCCUAAUACAUGCAAGUCGAGCGAACGGACGAGAAGCUUGCUUCUCUGAUGUUAGCGGCGGGCGGGUGAGUAACACGUGGAUAACCUACCUAUAAGACUGGGAUAACUUCGGGAAACCGUAGCUAAUACCGGAUAAUAUUUUGAACCGCAUGGUUCAAAAGUGAAAGACGGUCUUGCUGUCACUUAUAGAUGGAUCCGCGCUGCAUUAUCUAGUUGGUAAGGUAACGGCUUACCAAGGCAACGAUGCAUAGCCGACCUGAGAGGGUGAUCGGCCACACUGGAACUGAGACACGGUCCAGACUCCUACGGGAGGCAGCAGUAGGGAAUCUUCCGCAAUGGGCGAAAGCCUGACGGAGCAACGCCGCGUGAGUGAUGAAGGUCUUCGGAUCGUAAAACUCUGUUAUUAGGGAAGAACAUAUGUGUAAGUAACUGUGCACAUCUUGACGGUACCUAAUCAGAAAGCCACGGCUAACUACGUG
rnacentral:rRNA from 1 species